rnacentral:lncRNA from 1 species
AGGUAUUUGAACUGGAUUUUCAGGAUAGGCAGGGUUGCAUCUGGUGGGAACACAAUGAGAAGGGUUCUUCCAGGGAGGGCAGAUGAAGCAAGGAAAAGGCAGGUGUGGAAAGUUCAGGGCAUAGAGAGUAAUUCUAACAAUUGUUAACACUAAUUGACCACUCUCCUAUACUAGGUAUUGUUCUAGGCCUGUGUACAAGCAUUGUCUCAUUUGCUCUUCACAACCACACUGGAAAACUAGAUGCUUCAUCAACGCCCUGAUUGGGGAAUGGAAAUCUAUAUAAGGGAGUUAAGGAUGAAUCAAAAUAUACGGAAGAUGUUCAGCAAUUUAACCUUGGCGAACUGAGAAGACAUUGGUUGCAUAACCUCAGUUGCACCAUGUAAGUUAAGUUCCUAAUCUAACCCUCUCUUUUUAUGACUAGUUGAAAUGAACUCUAAGAAAUAUUUUUUUAUCCUCCAAAUUGCAUUUAUUUAUGUUUUUUUUUUUCUUUUAGAUGGGUCAUAAUGUACCCCUUUCUUCAGAGUAAAGAUUCUGUUAUGAUGAUUGAAUGCUUGCUUCUCCCGACUGAGAUGAUGUGAAGAUACAGGGGAUAAAAUCUGCCGCUAACCUGAGAUGAAAAAAAAAUCUUGAGAUGUUAGGGGUCCUGGUGCUGGCGAGAGCCAUCUUUAUCUGAAUGAAGAUUUUUUUCUUAAUCUCCUCGUGUCAUUGGACACACAGUUUGACAUUUCUGUCAGUGCCUGUGGGUAUGACAGUGGAGUGGAGCGAGGCAAAAAUUUGAAGCAAAUAUGCCCAAUAGACUGAUUAUUUUUCUCUCCUAGGCCUCAGGUUUAGGCAUAAUAACUUUCAUAAAUUCCAAUGACUGGCAUCAAAGAGUUAAUGAGGUCAUUUCCAUAAUUAUUCAUCUUCCUAAAGUGAAGAUAAGCUGGAAGCCACUUCAGUUGUCAAAAUUAACUGGGGCAUCAAUCAAAAGCUCGUAGAUUUUGAGAUAAUUCUGUAUUUAAACUCAAUUUGGUUUCCACAGGGGGACCGUAACCUGCCUAGGAGGCUUAAUUAGGCUAACUGCCUGAAAAACAGCAUAAAGCAUAUGGGUGGGUUUCUAUUCAAAACUGGUUUUAUGAGCAUUCUCAUAACUCUUACAGAAAAUAAAUGAACUUUCAGGGAUCUUCA